GACGAACGCUGGCGGCGUGCUUAACACAUGCAAGUCGAACGGAAAGGCCCUGCUUUUGUUGGGUGCUCGAGUAGCGAACGGGUGAGUAACACGUGAGUAACCUGCCCUUGACUUUGGGAUAACUUCGGGAAACUGGGGCUAAUACCAGAUAGGAGCUCCUGCUGCUUGGUGUGGGUUGGAAAGUUUCGGCGGUUGGGGAUGGACUCGCGGCUUAUCAGCUUGUUGGUGGGGUAGUGGCUUACCAAGGCUUUGACGGGUAGCCGGCCUGAGAGGGUGACCGGCCACAUUGGGACUGAGAUACGGCCCAGACUCCUACGGGAGGCAGCAGUGGGGAAUAUUGCACAAUGGGCGGAAGCCUGAUGCAGCAACGCCGCGUGCGGGAUGACGGCCGUCGGGUUGUAAACCGCUUUCGCCUGUGACGAAGCGUGAGUGACGGUAAUGGGUAAAGAAGCACCGGCUAACUACGUG
rnacentral:rRNA from 1 species